rnacentral:rRNA from 1 species
GAUGAACGCUGGCGGCGUGCCUAAUACAUGCAAGUCGAGCGAACAGACGAGGAGCUUGCUCCUCUGACGUUAGCGGCGGACGGGUGAGUAACACGUGGAUAACCUACCUAUAAGACUGGGAUAACUUCGGGAAACCGGAGCUAAUACCGGAUAAUAUUUUGAACCGCAUGGUUCAAUAGUGAAAGACGGUCUUGCUGUCACUUAUAGAUGGAUCCGCGCCGCAUUAGCUAGUUGGUAAGGUAACGGUUUACCAAGGCAACGAUGCAUAGCCGACCUGAGAGGGUGAUCGGCCACACUGGAACUGAGACACGGUCCAGACUCCUACGGGAGGCAGCAGUAGGGAAUCUUCCGCAAUGGGCGAAAGCCUGACGGAGCAACGCCGCGUGAGUGAUGAAGGUCUUCGGAUCGUAAAACUCUGUUAUUAGGGAAGAACAAAUGUGUAAGUAACUAUGCACGUCUUGACGGUACCUAAUCAGAAAGCCACGGCUAACUACGUG